rnacentral:lncRNA from 1 species
GUAGGGGUAGUGUGUGUGUUACCUGUAAGGACUAGGUGUAGGGGUAGUGUGUGUGUGUUACCUGUAAGGACUAGACGUAGGGGUAGUGUGUGUGUUACCUGUAAGGACUAGACGUAGGGGUAGUGUGUGUGUUACCUGUAAGGACUAGACGUAGGGGUAGUGUGUGUGUUACCUGUAAGGACUAGAUGUAGGGGUAGUGUGUGUGUUACCUGUAAGGACUAGACGUAGGGGUAGUGUGUGUGUUACCUGUAAGGACUAGACGUAGGGGUAGUGUGUGUGUGUUACCUGUAAGGACUAGAUGUAGGGGUAGUGUGUGUGUGUUACCUGUAAGGACUAGACGUAGGGGUAGUGUGUGUGUGUUACCUGUAAGGACUAGAUGUAGGGGUAGUGUGUGUGUGUUACCUGUAAGGGCUAGAUGUAGGGGUAGUGUGUGUGUGUUACCUGUAAGGGCUAGAUGUAGGGGUAGUGUGUGUGUGUUACCUGUAAGGACUAGACGUAGGGGUAGUGUGUGUGUGUUACCUGUAAGGACUAGACGUAGGGGUAGUGUGUGUGUGUUACCUGUAAGGACUAGAUGUAGGGGUAGUGUGUG